rnacentral:rRNA from 1 species
GACGAACGCUGGCGGCGUGCUUAACACAUGCAAGUCGAACGAAGUGGCGAACGGGUGAGUAACGCGUAAUCAACCUGCCCUUCAGAGGGGGACAACAGUUGGAAACGACUGCUAAUACGGCAUACUGAAGGAGGGGGUUGCGGCUGAUUAGCUAGUGGGAGGGGUAACGGCUAACCAAGGCGAUGAUGGGUAGCCGGCCUGGGAGGGUGAUCGGCCACAAGGGGACUGGGACACGGCCCUUACUCCUACGGGAGGCAGCGGUGGGGAAUAUUGGACAAUGGACCAAAGUCUGAUCAAGCAAUUCUGUUUGCACGAUGAAGUUUUUCGGAAGGUAGAGUGCUUUCAGUUGGGAAGCGGUACCAACAGAAGAAGUGACGGCUAAAUACGUGCCAGCAGCCGCGGUAAUUC